AUAUUGCACAAUGGGGGAAACCCUGAUGCAGCGACGCCGCGUGAGCGAAGAAGUAUUUCGGUAUGUAAAGCUCUAUCAGCAGGGAAGAAAAAAAUGACGGUACCUGACUAAGAAGCACCGGUUAAAUACGUGCCAGCAGCCGCGGUAAUACGUAUGGUGCAAGCGUUAUCCGGAUUUACUGGGUGUAAAGGGAGCGCAGGCGGUACGGCAAGUCUGAUGUGAAAGCCCGGGGCUCAACCCCGGUACUGCAUUGGAAACUGUCGGACUAGAGUGUCGGAGGGGUAAGUGGAAUUCCUAGUGUAGCGGUGAAAUGCGUAGAUAUUAGGAGGAACACCAGUGGCGAAGGCGGCUUACUGGACGAUUACUGACGCUGAGGCUCGAAAGCGUGGGGAGCAAACAGG
rnacentral:rRNA from 1 species